rnacentral:lncRNA from 1 species
AAUAAUAAGCCUCUCUUAUUUUCAUCUCAAUUCUGAAUCUGAUAUGGUGUCAGAGCAUAAUCCUUUUCGCAUUCAUCUUUCUUCUUCACAGAUUUAAUAUGUUGCUUGAUCUCCUUUUUUUCACAGAUUCUGUUGAUAUGCUACUUGAUCUAAUCUCCAUAUGGAGUCAUUACAAUCCAAAAAUCAGUCUGGUUUGAGGUCAUCAUUAAGCAAAUCGGCCAUUGAUGGACCUUCAAGCUCUUAUCUCUUGCAUCAUUCAGUGAGUGAUUCGCGUACUCACAAUUUCCAGAACUCCUCUAGCUCUAAGCUGCAUAAUUCACAGCAACCUGGGAUUAGAAGGUUCAUUCAGAGGUUGAAUCCUAAUUAGUAUCAACAAUCGUUGUCGAUGUUGUCCAAUCAUCUAGCAUCAAACUCAAAAACAGCAGAUUCUGAUUAUCAGGACAGAAAAAUUACAUCACAUAAUACAAGUAUAUGCCAUUCUAUACCUAUUAAUCCAGUCUUAAAUUCCAAAGAAAUUUGGAUAGUGGAUUCAGGGGCCACAAAGCAUGUUUGUUCAAUUGCUGCUGCAUUCAUAAAUCUGAGAAUUAUAGAUGAUUCUAUGUCAUCCUGGUUGAUCAAACAAAAAUUCCAGUAAAAUUAUGUGGGGAUGUAAGAUUAAGUUCAACUCUAGUACUGCGAGAUGUGUUGUUUGUGCCACGGUUCAAAUUCAAUCUAUUAUCGGUUAGUGCAUUAACCCUCGGGUCACAACUCUAAUUGAAUUUCU